rnacentral:rRNA from 1 species
UACGUAGGGGGCAAGCGUUGUCCGGAUUUAUUGGGCGUAAAGAGCGUGUAGGCGGCCAAGCAGGUCCGCUGUGAAACUCGAGGCUCAACCUCGAGACGUCGGUUGAAACCGUAUGGCUAGAGUCCGGAAGAGGAGAGUGGAAUUCCCGGUGUAGCGGUGAAAUGCGCAGAUAUCAGGAGGAACACCAAUGGCGAAGGCAGCACUCUGGGACGUGACUGACGCUGAGACGCGAAAGCGUGGGGAGCAAACAGG